rnacentral:rRNA from 1 species
UACGGGGGGAGCAAGCGUUGUUCGGAUUUACUGGGCGUAAAGGGCGCGUAGGCGGCGCAACAAGUCACUUGUGAAAUCUCCGGGCUUAACCCGGAGCGGUCAAGUGAUACUGUCGUGCUAGAGUGCGGAAGGGGCUACUGGAAUUCUCGGUGUAGCGGUGAAAUGCGUAGAUAUCGAGAGGGAACACCUGGCGGCGAAGGCGGGUAGCUGGGCCGACACUGACGCUGGAUGCGGCGAAAGCCCAGGGGGAGCGAACGGG